rnacentral:miRNA from 14 species
AGAAAUGCCUCUAUGAGAUCCAGGUGUAAGGCAUUUUCUCAAUUAGUGAUCAAGGAGGGAAGGCUCCUUGUGGGUGAUACCAUCCCUGGGCUGGUAGUCUUG